UACAGAGGGUGCGAACGUUGCUCGGAAUCACUGGGCGUAAAGCGCACGUAGGCGGGUCGUUAAGUCGGGGGUGAAAUCCUGGAGCUCAACUCCAGAACUGCCUUCGAUACUGGCGACCUUGAGUCCGGGAGAGGUGAGUGGAACUCCGAGUGUAGAGGUGAAAUUCGUAGAUAUUCGGAAGAACACCCGUGGCGAAAGCGGCUCUCUGGGACGGUACUGACGCUGAGACGCGAAAGCGUGGGGAGCAAACAGG
rnacentral:rRNA from 1 species